rnacentral:rRNA from 1 species
AGAGUUUGAUCCUGGCUCAGGAUGAACGCUGGCGGCGUGCCUAACACAUGCAAGUCGAACGUCCUGUGGGCUUUCGGGCGCACAGGGAGUGGCGGACGGGUGAGUAACACAUGGGUGACCUAUCUUUCAGUGAGGAAUACCGGCGAGAAAUCGCCGACAAGACCGCAUGCGCUCUCUUUCGUGGAGGAAGGGAGGAAAGCCGCAAGGCGCUGGAAGCUGGGCCCGUGGCCGAUUAGCUAGUUGGUGGGGUAAGGGCCCACCAAGGCAACGAUCGGUAGCUGGUCUGAGAGGACGAGCAGCCACACUGGGAUUGAGAACGGCCCAGACUCCUACGGGGGGCAGCAGUGAGGAAUUUUCGGCAAUGGGCGCAAGCCUGACCGAGCAACGCCGCGUGCAGGACGAAGGUCUUCGGAUCGUAAACUGCUUUUCUCGGGGACGAGCAAGGACGGUACCCGAGGAACCAGCCCCGGCUAACUACGUGCCAGCAGCCGCGGUAAUACGUAGGGGGCGAGCGUUGUCCGGAGUUACUGGGCGUAAAGGGCACGCAGGCGGUCGUGUCAGUUUGGGGUAACAGCUCCCGGCUCAACUGGGAGAGUGCCUCGAAGACGGCACGACUUGAGGGCCAGAGAGGGACACAGAAUUCCGGGUGGAGUGGUGAAAUGCGUAGAUAUCCGGAGGAAUACCAAAGGCGAAGGCAGUGUCCUGGCUGGUAACUGACGCUGAGGUGCGAAAGCGAGGGGAGCGAACGGGAUUAGAUACCCCGGUAGUCC